rnacentral:rRNA from 1 species
GAUGAACGCUGGCGGCGUGCCUGAUACAUGCAAGUCGAGCGAAUGGAUUAAGAGCUUGCUCUUAUGAAGUUAGCGGCGGACGGGUGAGUAACACGUGGGUAACCUGCCCAUAAGACUGGGAUAACUUCGGGAAACCGGGGCUAAUACCGGAUAACAUUUUGAACCGCAUGGUUCGAAAUUGAAAGGCGGCUUCGGCUGUCACUUAUGGAUGGACCCGCGUCGCAUUAGCUAGUUGGUGAGGUAACGGCUCACCAAGGCAACGAUGCGUAGCCGACCUGAGAGGGUGAUCGGCCACACUGGGACUGAGACACGGCCCAGACUCCUACGGGAGGUAGCAGUAGGGAAUCUUCCGCAAUGGACGAAAGUCUGACGGAGCAACGCCGCGUGAGUGUUGAAGGCUUUCGGGUCGUAAAACUCUGUUGUUAGGGAAGAACAAGUGCUAGUUGAAUAAGCUGGCACCUUGACGGUACCUAACCAGAAAGCCACGGCUAACUACGUGCCAGCCGCCGCAGUAA